GCCCCCGUAGUUAAAUGGAUAUAACGGUCCCCUCCUAAGGGACAGUUACAGGUUCGAUUCCUGUCGGGGGUG
rnacentral:tRNA from 1 species